CCUGCCCCUCGAGGCAUUUCAGGUGUGACUCUUGUGUCACACGUGUGUCAGUAGGUGCCAGAGAAGAGCAAGGCUAUAUCUAUGCUCAAUGGUCUGGCGGUGAACAUCUAAAGGAUUAAUAUCCAAACACU